GCUGUAGUAGCAUAAUUAAUGUGCAUUAGAUUUAAGCUCUAAAGAUAUAAGGUAUCUUUCUUAUCUAUAGUA
rnacentral:tRNA from 1 species